ACCAAGCUUCUUUAUUGCUGCCCUCUUCUGGAUGAAGUCACAAAAUUGGCAUGCCAUGAAACAAGGCGCAAGGGUACCCAAAGAGGUGAUGGGGACCCCCAACUCUCCUCCCAAACUCUACAAAAACAGUGUGGCCAUCUGACUGAACUACUGGCAGUGGAAUUUAAGAAGAAACAAAUGUGUUAUUUCCAAGCCCAGGGUUUUAAGAAGAGGAUGUGGCUUCAGAGUGCUGUUACGCUCCUAUUACUUUGAUGCAGAAGAUGUAGAGACUUUAAGGGGAUGGCACCCCUCACAAAGCAGAAGGAUCUUUCUAUCAUGAAAUACAUGGAUAAAAACUGCCUCCAAAUCAGAAGUGUAGGAACCAGCCUACUAGCUGAGCUUAAACCUGACCAAGGGGUGACAAG
rnacentral:lncRNA from 1 species